rnacentral:snRNA from 1 species
GUGCUCGCUUUGGCAGCACAUAUAUUAAAACUGAAACAAUACAGAGAAGACUAGCAUGGUCCCUGCACAAGGAUGACAUGCAAAUUCAUGAAGCAUUCCAUACUUUU